CGUGAAGUAAUCGGAAUUACAAUAGGACAGAUAUAAAUUUGAGACCAAGAAAAUGAAGCACUAAAAAACUAGGAAAAAAAGACUCGCGGAAAUCCGUCAACAGUGCUCGAAGAAUUUGAACAACAAGAAUCCAAGUGGCAGAAAAUUUUAGCUGACUUUCCAGAUUCCAAAUGCUUGAAUCAAGCCAAACCACUGCAGAAAAACUAAAACAGACACUGAUAACAGAGAGAGAGAGAGAGAGAG
rnacentral:misc_RNA from 1 species